UACGUAGGGGGCAAGCGUUAUCCGGAUUUACUGGGUGUAAAGGGAGCGUAGGCGGUAAUGCAAGUCAGAAGUGAAAACCCCGGGCUUAACCCUGGGAUUGCUUUUGAAACUGUAUAACUAGAGUGCUGGAGGGGUAAGCGGAAUUCCUAGUGUAGCGGUGAAAUGCGUAGAUAUUAGGAAGAACACCGGUGGCGAAGGCGGCUUACUGGACAGUAACUGACGCUGAGGCUCGAAAGCGUGGGGAGCAAAC
rnacentral:rRNA from 1 species